rnacentral:rRNA from 1 species
ACAGUUGCUAAGACUGGAUAGGAAAUUAAAAGGCAUCUUUUAAUUUUUAAAAGACCUUUUUCGGAAGGUAUGCUUAAAGAGGGGCUUGCGCCACAUUAGUUAGUUGGUAAGGUAAAGGCUUACCAAGACGAUGAUGUGUAGCUGGACUGAGAGGUCGAACAGCCACAUUGGGACUGAGACACGGCCCAAACUCCUACGGGAGGCAGCAGUAAGGAAUUUUUGGCAAUGGAGGAAACUCUGACCGAGCGACGCCGCGUGAACAAUGAAGUACUUCGGUAUGUAAAGUUCUUUUAUUGAAAAAGAAAAAAUAGUGGAAAAACUAUCUUGACAUUAUUCAAUGAAUAAGCCCCGGCUAAUUAUGUGCCAGCAGCCGCGGUAAUACAUAAGGGGCGAGCGUUAUCCGGAAUUAUUGGGCGUAAAGGGUGCGUAGGCGGUUUGAUAAGUCUAUAGUUUAAUUGCAGUGCUUAACGCUGUACCGCUAUAGAAACUGUCUGACUAGAGUUAGAUAGAGGCAAGCGGAAUUCCAUGUGUAGCGGUAAAAUGCGUAAAUAUAUGGAGGAACACCAGAGGCGUAGGCGGCUUGCUGGGUCUUAACUGACGCUGAGGCACGAAAGCGUGGGGAGCAAACAGGAUUAGAUAUCCCGGUUAGUUCACGCCGUAAACGAUGAGUACUAAGUGUCGGGUUUUGGCUCGGUACUGAAGUUAACACAUUAAGUACUCCGCCUGAGUAGUACGUACGCAAGUAUGAAACUUAAAGGAAUUGACGGGACCCCGCACAAGCGUGGAUCAUGUUGUUUAAUUCGAAGAUACACGAAAAACCUUACCAGGUCUUGACAUAAUUUUGCGACAUUAUAGAAAUAUAAUGAAGGUUAUCAGAAUUACAGGUGGUGCAUGGUUGUCGUCAGCUCGUGUCGUGAGAUGUUAGGUUAAGUCCUAAAACGAGCGCAACCCUUGUCGUUAGUUGCGACCACAUAAUGGUGAGCACUUUAGCGAGACUGCCAAUGAAAAAUUGGAGGAAGGUGAGGAUUACGUCAAAUCAUCAUGCCCCUUAUGAUCUGGGCUACAAACGUGAUACAAUGGCUGUUACAAAGAGUAGCUACAACGUGAGUUUUUAGCCAAUCUCAAAAAAACAGUCUCAGUUCGGAUUGAAGUCUGCAACUCGACUUCAUGAAGUUGGAAUCGCUAGUAAUCGCGAAUCAGCAUGUCGCGGUGAAUACGUUCUCGGGGUUUGUACACACCGCCCGUCAAACCACGAAAGUUGAUAAUACCCAAA